CCUACGGGUGGCAGCAGUGAGGAAUAUUGGUCAAUGGGCGCUAGCCUGAACCAGCCAAGUCGCGUGAAGGAUGACUGCCCUAUGGGUUGUAAACUUCUUUUAUAUGGGAGUAAAGUGCAGCAUGUAUACUGCUUUGCAUGUACCCUAUGAAUAAGCAUCGGCUAACUCCGUGCCAGCAGCCGCGGUAAUACGGAGGAUCCGAGCGUUAUCCGGAUUUAUUGGGUUUAAAGGGAGCGUAGGCGGGUGGUUAAGUCAGUUGUGAAAGUUUGCGGCUCAACCGAAAGAUUGCAGUUGAUACUGGCAGCCUUGAGUACAGUAGAGGUAGGCGGAAUGCGUGGUGUAGCGGUGAAAUGCGUAGAUAUCACGCAGAACCCCGAUUGCGAAGGCAGCCUUCCGGCGCCCUACUGACGCUGAGGCACGAAAGUGCGGGGAGCGAACAGGAUUAGAUACCCGUGUAGUC
rnacentral:rRNA from 1 species